rfam:Brassica oleracea var. oleracea cultivar TO1000 chromosome C7, whole genome shotgun sequence
GGAAUAUAAGAACCCAUUUUUUAAUUUUUAACUAAAAAAAUUAAGAACCGGCUCUUAAAACUCUUAUUUAAGAACCGGUUCUUAGCUUUUUUAGUUAAAAGUUAAAAAAUUGGUUCUUAUAUUCC